rnacentral:misc_RNA from 1 species
GAUGAAGAACGUAGCGAAAUGCGAUAAGUAAUGCGAAUUGCAGAAUUCAGUGAGUCAUCGAAUCUUUGAACGCACAUUGCGCCCUGUGGUAUUCCGCAGGGCAUGCCUGUUCGAGCGUCAUUUCAACCCUCAAGCCCCGCUUGGUGUUGGGCCCCGCCCGCUGUGGCCGGCCCUAAAGACAGUGGCGGCGCCGCCUGGCCCUCAGCGUAGUACAUCUCUCGCUCCAGGGUCCGGUGGCCGCCUGCCAGAACCCCCCAACUCUGUGGUUGACCUCGGAUCAGGUAGGGAUACCCGCUGAACUUAAGCAUAUCAAUAGCGGAGGA